rnacentral:rRNA from 1 species
UACGUAGGGUGCAAGCGUUGUUCGGAAUUACUGGGCGUAAAGGGCUCGUAGGCGGCCAACUAAGUCGGAUGUGAAAUCCCCAGGCUUAACCUGGGAACUGCAUCCGAUACUGGAUGGCUUGAAUCCGGGAGAGGGAUGCGGAAUUCCAGGUGUAGCGGUGAAAUGCGUAGAUAUCUGGAGGAACACCGGUGGCGAAGGCGGCAUCCUGGACCGGCAUUGACGCUGAGGAGCGAAAGCCAGGGGAGCAAACGGG